UUUGGUCAAGCUACUAAGGGCGUACGGUGGAUGCCUUGGGGCAAAAGGCCGAUGAAGGGCGCGGUCAGCGGCGAAACGCUUCGGGGAGCUGCAAACAAGCUUUGAUCCGGAGAUUCCCGAAUGGGGCAACCUGGCACGGGUAAUGCCGUGUCACCCACAGGUGAAUACAUAGCCUGUGAGGAGGGCACCCGGAGAACUGAAACAUCUUAGUAUCCGGAGGAAAAGAAAACAAAAGUGAUUCCCUAAGUAGUGGCGAGCGAACGGGGAACAGCCCAAACCCAUGCCGUGAAUAUAGCUCACAGGCGUUGCGGUAUGGGGGUAGCGGGAUCUCGCGUGCAGGAGCUGUGAAUCCUGCAAGAAGUUACAAAUCUCUUGUCUAGCUGAAUGGCAUGGAACGGCCGACCGCAGAGGGUGAUAGUCCCGUAAGCGAAAGGCAAGAGACUUCUUGCGAGACACCCAAGUAACGCGGGACACGAGGAACCCUGCGUGAAUCUGUCCGGACCACCGGAUAAGGCUAAAUACCUUUUGCCACCGAUAGUGGACCAGUACCGCGAGGGAAAGGUGAAAAGAACCCCGGAAGGGGAGUGAAAUAGAACCUGAAACCGUAUGCCUACAAGCUGUGGGAGCACUAUGUCCUGAUCUUUGUAUCGGGAAAUGUGUGACCGCGUGCCUUUUGCAUAAUGAACCGGCGAGUUAAUUCGCGUUGCAAGGUUAAUCCCGGAUUCGGGAGGAGCCGUAGCGAAAGCGAGUCCAAAUAGGGCGACUUAGUAACGCGGAUUAGACCCGAAACCGAGUGAUCUACCCAUGGCCAGGGUGAACCCAGGGUAAGACCUGGUGGAGGCCCGAACCACUGUCGGUUGAAAACGGCUUGGAUGAGCUGUGGGUAGCGGUGAAAUGCCAAUCGAACUCGGAUAUAGCUGGUUCUCCUCGAAAUGCAUUUAGGUGCAGCCUCGCGCGUUGUGUCAUGCAGGUAGAGCACUGGAUGGGCUAGGGGCCCCACCAGGUUACCGAACUCAACCAAACUCCGAAUGGCAUGACAUUAGCGCGGGAGUGAGACUAUGGGGGAUAAGCUUCAUAGUCAAAAGGGAAACAGCCCAGACCAUCAGCUAAGGCCCCUAAGAACUGGCUAAGUGUGAAAGGAUGUUGAGUCUCAUAGACAACCAGGAUGUUGGCUUAGAAGCAGCCAUCAUUUAAAGAGUGCGUAACAGCUUACUGGUCGAUAGGGACUCUGCGCCGAUAAUGUAAGGGGGCUUAAGCCAGUCGCCGAAGCUAUGGGUUCCUCGAGUUCCUCGAGGAGCGGUAGAGGAGCGUUCCCUGCGGAGUGAAGCCUGAGCGCGAGCACGGGUGGACUGCAGGGAAGUGAGGAUGCCGGUAUAAGUAGCGAAAAGAAGAGUGAGAAUCUCUUCCGCCGAAAGCCUAAGGGUUCUUAAGGAAGGUUCGUCCUCUUGAGUUUAGUCGGGCCUAAGCCGAGGGCGAAAGCCGUAGGUGAUGGACAACUGGUUUAUAUUCCAGUACCAGGGGAGCGCGUUAUGAGCAAUGGGGUGACGCAGGCAGCGUCCCUGAGCACGGUGUUGGUCGUCCGUGUUCCGCUGUAGGAGUCUCUGGAUAGGUAAAUCCGUCCGGGGGUUAAGCUCUGGCAGUGGACGAGUAGAGGAGAAAUCCGAAGCGAAGCAGGGGCAAUGUCUGCCAAGAAAAACCUCUAGCCAGCGCAAACCUGACCGUACCGCAAACCGACACAGGUAGGCAGGUAGAGGAUACCAAGGCGCGCGAGAUAACUCUCGUUAAGGAACUAGGCAAGUUGACCCCGUAACUUCGGGAGAAGGGGUGCCCUGGCGGGCUACCGCUGCAACGCGGCGGUUCGCUGGGGUCGCAGUGACAAGGCUCGAGCGACUGUUUACCAAAAACACAGGUCUCUGCUAAGGGGAAACCCUAAGUAUAGGGGCUGACGCCUGCCCAAUGCUAGAAGGUUAAUAGGAGGGGUUACCGCAAGGGAAGCCCUGAAUUGAAGCCCUAGUGAAUGGCGGCCGUAACUAUAACGGUCCUAAGGUAGCGAAAUUCCUAGUCGGGUAAGUUCCGACCCGCACGAAUGGCGUAACGACUUGAGCGCUGUCUCAACGAGAGACUCGGUGAAAUUGUAGCAUGCGUGAAGAUGCGCAUUACCCGCAACAGGACGGAAAGACCCCGUGGAGCUUUACUACACCUUGAUAUUGAAUUCUGGGAUAGCAUGUAGAGAAUAUGUGGGAGUCCCGAGUUUUCUCGGGACGCCAGUGGAAUACCACUCUUGUUAUCUUGGAGUUCUAACCCGAGGAGUUAUCCUCCGAGGAGACAGUAUCAGGCGGGUAGUUUGACUGGGGCGGUCGCCUCCUAAAAGGUAACGGAGGCGCCCAAAGGUUCCCUCAGCCUGGUUGGAAACCAGGUGUCGAACGCAAGGGCAUAAGGGAGCUUAACUGCGAGAGAGACGUCUCGAACAGAUGCGAAAGCAGGGCCUAGUGAUCCUAUGGCAACGUGUGGAAGUGCCAUGGCUCAUCGGAUAAAAGUUACCCCGGGGAUAACAGGCUUAUCUUGCCCAAGCGCUCACAGCGACGGCAAGGUUUGGCACCUCGAUGUCGGCUCGUCGCAUCCUGGGGCUGAAUAGGGUCCCAAGGGUUGUGCUGUUCGCACAUUAAAGCGGUACGCGAGCUGGGUUCAGAACGUCGUGAGACAGUUCGGUCCCUAUCCGUUGCGGGCGUAAGAAGCUUGAGGGGAGCUGUCCCUAGUACGAGAGGACCGGGAUGGACAGACCUCUGGUGUACCAGUUGUUCCGCCAGGAGCAGACGCUGGGUAGCUAUGUCUGGUCGUGAUAAGCGCUGAAAGCAUAUAAGCGCGAAACACACCCCAAGAUUAGGCUUCUCUUCCCCUAGUGGGAGUAAGACUCCAGGUAGAUUACCUGGUUGAUAGGCAGCAGGUGUAAGCACAGCAAUGUGUUCAGCCUAGCUGUACUAAUCAGUCGAGCGGCUUGACCAU
rnacentral:rRNA from 1 species